rfam:Oryza sativa Japonica Group DNA, chromosome 1, cultivar: Nipponbare, complete sequence.
AAAAAAGACAUACCUGGGUUUCCGUGUCCAACGUUCGACUGUGUCAGUCUUAUAUGAAAUUUUUUAUAAUUAGUAUUUUUAUUGUUGUUCGAUAAUAAAACAUGAUUAAUACUUAUGCGUGACUUAUUUUUUAAAUUUUUUUCAUAAUUUUUUUAAAUAAGACGGACGGUCAAACGUUGGACACGAAAAUCCAGGGUUUGUCUUUUU